UAGGGAAUCUUCGGCAAUGGACGAAAGUCUGACCGAGCAACGCCGCGUGAGUGAAGAAGGUUUUCGGAUCGUAAAACCCUGUUGGUAGAGAAGAACGUUGGUGAGAGUGGAAAGCUCAUCAAGUGACGGUAACUACCCAGAAAGGGACGGCUAACUACGUGCAAG
rnacentral:rRNA from 1 species